GAUGAAGAACGUAGCGAAAUGCGAUAAGUAAUGUGAAUUGCAGAAUUCAGUGAAUCAUCGAAUCUUUGAACGCACAUUGCGCCCGCCAGCAUUCUGGCGGGCAUGCCUGUUCGAGCGUCAUUUCAACCCUCGAGCCCCCCCGGGGGCCUCGGUGUUGGGGGACGGCACACCAGCCGCCCCCGAAAUGCAGUGGCGACCCCGCCGCAGCCUCCCCUGCGUAGUAGCACACACCUCGCACCGGAGCGCGGAGGCGGUCACGCCGUAAAACGCCCAACUUUCUUAGAGUUGACCUCGGAUCAGGUAGGAAUACCCGCUGAACUUAAGCAUAUCAUUAAGCGGAGGA
rnacentral:misc_RNA from 1 species